UACGUAGGGUGCAAGCGUUGUCCGGAAUUAUUGGGCGUAAAGAGCUCGUAGGCGGUCUGUCGCGUCGGCUGUGAAAACCCGAGGCUCAACCUCGGGCCUGCAGUCGAUACGGGCAAACUAGAGUACUGCAGGGGAGACUGGAAUUCCUGGUGUAGCGGUGAAAUGCGCAGAUAUCAGGAGGAACACCGGUGGCGAAGGCGGGUCUCUGGGCCGAAACUGACGCUGAGGAGCGAAAGCGUGGGGAGCAAACAGG
rnacentral:rRNA from 1 species